CGGUAGCAUGCUAACAUGCUCACAAUAACAUGCUAACACACUGAUGUUUUAGCAAGUAAUGUUUCCCAAGUUUAGCGUGUUUUAGUUCAGCGUGUCAGCUUAAAUUCUUUCCAUACAUUUAAGCUGCCUGUUCAUUCACUUCAACUUGUCUGAUCCAAACCCUCCACUGGCAAAGGGCUACAAAUACACUCAUCAGUUGGAGUCCAUCUGUCUCGUGCGUUGACAGCGAAGAGCCGACAACGGGAGAAAGAGACAGACAGUAACAGCCCCGGGGGGAGGUCACACAGCGUGGUCAGAGCCUUGAUGUCGCUCUCGGGUACGGUGGGAUCCGGCAUGGCGAAGAUGCCUUCU